rnacentral:rRNA from 1 species
CCUUGGGGAAUUUUCCGCAAUGGGCGCAAGCCUGACGGAGCAAGACCGCGUGGGGGAGGAAAGCCUUUGGGUUGUAAACCCCUUUUCUCAGGGAAGAAGAAAGUGACGGUACCUGAGGAAUCAGCCUCGGCUAACUCCGUGCCAGCAGCCGCGGUAAUACGGAGGAGGCAAGCGUUAUCCGGAAUGAUUGGGCGUAAAGCGUUCGUGGGUGGCAAUUCAAGUCUGCUGUCAAAGACAGUAGCUCAACUACUGCAAGGCAGUGGAAACUGAAUAGCUAGAGUGCGGUAGGGGCAGAGGGAAUUCCCGGUGUAGCGGUGAAAUGCGUAGAGAUCGGGAAGAACACCGGUGGCGAAAGCGCUCUGCUGGGCCGCAACUGACACUGAGGGACGAAAGCUAGGGGAGCGAAUGGGAUUAGAUACCCCAGUAGUC